GUUGAACGCUGGCGGCAGGCCUAACACAUGCAAGUCGAGCGGAUGAAGGGAGCUUGCUCCUGGAUUCAGCGGCGGACGGGUGAGUAAUGCCUAGGAAUCUGCCUGGUAGUGGGGGAUAACGUCCGGAAACGGGCGCUAAUACCGCAUACGUCCUGAGGGAGAAAGUGGGGGAUCUUCGGACCUCACGCUAUCAGAUGAGCCUAGGUCGGAUUAGCUAGUUGGUGGGGUAAAGGCCUACCAAGGCGACGAUCCGUAACUGGUCUGAGAGGAUGAUCAGUCACACUGGAACUGAGACACGGUCCAGACUCCUACGGGAGGCAGCAGUGGGGAAUAUUGGACAAUGGGCGAAAGCCUGAUCCAGCCAUGCCGCGUGUGUGAAGAAGGUCUUCGGAUUGUAAAGCACUUUAAGUUGGGAGGAAGGGCAGUAAGUUAAUACCUUGCUGUUUUGACGUUACCAACAGGAUAAGCACCGGCUAACUUCGUG
rnacentral:rRNA from 1 species